AGAGUUUGAUCCUGGCUCAGAACGAACGCUGGCGGCGUGCUUAAUACAUGCAAGUUGAACGAGAAAGCGCCCUUCGGGGUGUGAGUAGAGUAGCGAACGGGUGAGUAACACGUAAGCAACCUACCUUUAAGUCUGGAAUAACCUUGCCAACGCGGGGCUAAUACCGGAUGUGGUCUUUGUAUCUUAUGGUACUUAGAUUAAAGAUGACCUCUCCUUGGAAGUUAUUGCUUAGAGAUGGGCUUGCGGACCAUUAGUUUGUUGGUGGGGUAACGGCCUACCAAGACUGUGAUGGUUAGCCGACCUGAGAGGGUGAUCGGCCACAUUGGGACUGAGAUACGGCCCAGACUCCUACGGGAGGCAGCAGUAGGGAAUUUUGCGCAAUGGACGAAAGUCUGACGCAGCAACGCCGCGUGAGGGAUGAAUGUCUUCGGAUUGUAAACCUCUGUUGAGUGGGAAGAAAAGACUCGUAACUAAUAUUUGCGGGUUAUGACGGUACCAUUCGAGGAAGCUCCGGCUAACUACGUCCAGCAGCCGCGGUAAUACGUAGGGAGCAAGCGUUGUUCGGAAUCACUGGGCGUAAAGGGAGAGUAGGCGGAUCGGUAAGUUAGGAGUUAAAUGCACGGGCUUAACCCGUGACCUGCUUUUAAUACUGCCAGUCUUGAGUAUGGGAGAGGGCGAUGGAAUUCCAGGUGUAGCGGUGGAAUGCGUAGAUAUCUGGAAGAACACCAGUUGCGAAGGCGGUCGCCUGGCCCAAUACUGACGCUGAUGCUCGAAAGCUAGGGGAGCGAACAGGAUUAGAUACCCUGGUAGUCCUAGCCGUAAACGAUGGACACUAGUUGCUGGAGAAGUCAAUCUUUUCAGUGACGAAGCUAACGCAUUAAGUGUCCCGCCUGGGGAGUACGCUCGCAAGGGUGAAACUCAAAGGAAUUGACGGGGGCCCGCACAAGCGGUGGAGCAUGUGCUUUAAUUCGAUGCAACGCGAAGAACCUUACCUGGGUUUGACAUGGGAGUGAAACUUUCCAGAGAUGGAUUGCCUUCCUUCGGGAACACUCUACACAGGUGCUGCAUGGUUGUCGUCAGCUCGUGUCGUGAGAUGUUGGGUUAAGUCCCGCAACGAGCGCAACCCCUGUCCUUAGUUGCCAGCGAGUAAUGUCGGGAACUCUAGGGAGACUGCCUGGAUUAACCAGGAGGAAGGUGGGGAUGA
rnacentral:rRNA from 1 species